UACGUACUUCCUCCUUUCCAUAUUAGUUGAUUUGGAUGUAUCUAGAUACGGAUGUAUCUAACACUGAAACAUGUCUAGAUAUAUCCGUAUCUAGAUAAAUCUGAGUCAGCUAAUUUGGAACGGAGGGAGUAUUAA
rfam:Triticum aestivum genome assembly, contig: Triticum_aestivum_CS42_TGACv1_scaffold_211314_3AS